CCUACGGGAGGCAGCAGUGGGGAAUAUUGGGCAAUGGAGGAAACUCUGACCCAGCAACGCCGCGUGAAUGAUGAAGGUCUUCGGAUUGUAAAGUUCUUUUCUGAGGGAAGAAGAAAGUGAUGGUACCUUAGGAAUAAGCCUCGGCUAACUACGUGCCAGCAGCCGCGGUAAUACGUAGGAGGCGAGCGUUAUCCGGAUUUAUUGGGUUUAAAGGGUGCGUAGGCGGCCAGACAAGUCAGAAGUGAAAGCCCAGGGCUCAACCCUGGGACUGCUUUUGAAACUGCCGGGCUGGAGUGCAGGAGAGGUAAGCGGAAUUCCUAGUGUAGCGGUGAAAUGCGUAGAGAUUAGGAGGAACACCAGUGGCGAAGGCGGCUUACUGGACUGUAACUGACGUUGAGGCUCGAAAGCGUGGGGAGCAAACAGGAUUAGAUACCCGGGUAGUC
rnacentral:rRNA from 1 species